rnacentral:rRNA from 1 species
AACCUCCGCAAUGUGAGAAAUCGCGACGGGGGGAUCCCAAGUGCCAUUCUUAACGGGAUGGCUUUUCAUUAGUGUAAAGAGCUUUUGGAAUAAGAGCUGGGCAAGACCGGUGCCAGCCGCCGCGGUAACACCGGCAGCUCUAGUGGUAACAAUUUUUAUUGGGCCUAAAGCGUCCGUAGCCGGUUUAAUAAGUCUCUGGUGAAAUCCUGCAGCUUAACUGUGGGAAUUGCUGGAGAUACUAUUAGACUUGAGAUCGGGAGAGGUUAGAGGUACUCCCAGGGUAGAGGUGAAAUUCUGUAAUCCUGGGAGGACCGCCUGUUGCGAAGGCGUCUAACUGGAACGAUUCUGACGGUGAGGGACGAAAGUUAGGGGCGCGAACCGGAUUAGAUACCCGGGUAGUCCUAACUGUAAACGAUGCGGACUUGGUGUUGGGGUGGCUUUGAGCUGCUCCAGUGCCGAAGGGAAGCUGUUAAGUCCGCCGCCUGGGAAGUACGGUCGCAAGACUGAAACUUAAAGGAAUU